rnacentral:rRNA from 1 species
CCUAAAAGGUAACGGAGGCGCCCAAAGCUUCCCUCAGCGUGGUCGGAAAUCACGCGUCGAGUGUAAGGGCAUAAGGGAGGCUGACUGUGAGACCGACUGGUCGAGCAGGGGCGAA